UCUGCAGGGACUUCUAAGACCACCAACAACAACAACAUGGUGUUUUUCCCAUCCAAGACCAACAACACUUCAAGGCUUGUUGUGAGGGCAGCUGAUGAGGCUUCACCACCACCACCCUCUCCAACCCCAGCAACCACCACUGCACCACCUGAAGGGGGUGAAGCCCCUAAGCCUAAGCCACCACCAAUAGGACCAAAAAGAGGCACCAAGGUUAGCUCCCUUACAUGUAGAAUAUAUCUGCAGAGAUGAUGUAGGGAAAAUAAGUAAACAUAAAUCACUCUCUGUCAAGCUUUGAUCAUUAAACAGGGAAUCAAAAUUGUUACUAUGAACAACAAGUUUGAUGAAAUGAUGUUCGAUAUGAUAGGUGAAGAUUCUUAGGAGGGAGUCCUACUGGUACAACAGCUAUGGAUCAGUUGUUACAGUUGACCAGGUCACUCUUUCUCUCUUUCUUCUUCCAGCUCUAUGUGCAUGCAUGCAUGUAUGAAGGAACUAUGGAUCUAAUUUUGUGUCCAUUUGGUGCAGGAUCCCAAGACUCGGUACCCAGUUGUGGUUCGAUUCAACAAAGUUAAUUACGCCAAUGUAUCUACCAACAACUACGCAUUGGAUGAGAUUGAAGAAGUUAAAUGAGUCACUGUUUCAUUUUGUAAUAAUUUUGGGUUUCAAUGAUCCUAUGGCUAAUAUAUAUAU
rnacentral:lncRNA from 1 species